AGAGCGGGACUCUGUCUCAAAAUAAUAAUAGUAAAUAAAAAUGAAUAAAGCCUCUGGAUCUGUCCUGGUUUUGAGGGCUGCUCAAAAAAAAAAAAAAAAAAAAAAAGCCUGAUUUAGGUUAAGCAAAACCGAGACAGUCUGUAUAUGUGUGUGUGUAUAACAUGCACCAUAUGUAAUAUAUGAAUUGUAUGCAAUUUUUAUGUGUAACAAAUAGUGGGAAAACAUUUACAUUCCUAUAUAUGCAUAAUCAAUCUGAAAGGAAAGGUAACUGGUAUUAAGAGAAAGGAGGGAAUGGAAUUGGGGGGAAAAAUGUACUUUUCCCUGAAUUUUUUUGUGCAGUUUGAUGCUUUUUGCAGUUUUCAUGAGUUACCUAUUAAGAAAUACUGUUAAAGGAAAAAACAAAAUGACUAUGCAUUCGAGUGAUAGUUAUUGAAUACUAUGUUUCGUGUACUGCCAGGCAUAGCAACUAGCGGCCCUGCAUUUCUAUGUUCUGUUUUUCUACUUUCCUUUUUAAAUCAUCCAGCCCAAAAUGUCACCACUCUGUUCAAAAAGAGCACAGGUUAUGGAAGAGGAGGUGGAGACUAGAGUGUCAGGAAAGAUUACUUAGAGAUUAUGAUUUCUGAGCCAGGAAUAUGAAUGAUGUGUAGAGUUUCUCAAAAGAACAGCAGUUUGGGGAAGGGAACCAAAGUUUAUGGACGAGGAACAGAAUGUGCAAAAUUCCCAGAUCUGUUGAGAGAAUUUGAAGUUGCAGAAGGAAUCUAAUUGACUAACUCAUAUCCUCAUAACCCAUAACCUCAUAUGGAAGGAGAAUCAUUGCUGGGGAAAAGUGAUUGGGAUUUAGUGGCCCUGGUUCCUUUUGCCUAAUACUCUUCUCUUUGGGGCCUCUCAUUAUAUAAUUAGUACUGACACCAUCAUGCUGGGUAGAUGUGGAGAGUUGCUAUGUGCUUUGGUUGGCCUUGCCAAAUAUGAACUCACAAGGUUUUUCUGGAAUAUUUGGAAGGCAUUUUACUAAAGGGUGAGGAGGGAUGGCAUGGAAGAAUUUGACAUGAAAAGCUACCUGGAAUCGCAAAAUUUGGUUCAUUCACCUUUAGUUUGAGGAAGGGGAGGUCCCUGCCCAAGGCCUCCAGGUUUCAGAUGUCAUUUUGUCCCUCCCACUUGAGUGCCUUCACCCACGUCUUCCUGGGUGAUAGAGGAGAAACUCAAGUCUUCACUCUCACAAGACAGAGGGACAUGGCCUUCCUUCACCAACAGCCUCAGCUGGACAACGCUGUCAGGAUGUCACACAAAUGCCUGGCAUCCUAGGAGUCAGGAGUAUUCUUGCAUUGUUAGAGGAGGAGAGUACCUGGAGAGGUCUCUUGUGCCAGGUUAUGCAGGGCCUUGUAUGUUAUGUCACCAUGCAUUUAGAACUUUACCCAGUAGACACAAGGGAAAUUGUGACAGGAAACAGGGUCAGAACUGGGUAUGUAGCAGAAAUCAUAGAAAUGGAUAUAAAGCUAUAGAGGUAAUAUGUUAUAAGGAAAAUAACUUAGGAAACCCGGCUUCUGUUCUUGGCUGUACCUGUAACUGAUUGGAUUAAUGUGAGGAAUCGUUUAGCCUCUUAAAGCUUCAGAGCACAGGUUGCGACAGUUUGUGCCUGCAGUCCCAGCUACUUGGGAGGCUGCAGAGGGAGGAUAGCUUGGGAGUCGAGGCUGCAGUGAGCUAGGAUGGUGCCGCUGCACUCCAGCUUGGGCUACAGGUUGAGACCCUGUGUCUUAAUGAAUAAAAUAAUUAUUUAAAAAAUAAUUUUAAAAAACUUAUGAGUGGUUCAGUGCACUUGUCUAUAAAGGAGUUAAGUGUUUCUUAAAAGGGCUAUUCCAAGCAUGAAGUCUUAAUUUUCUGCUUAACCAGCCUCCAAAUCUAAAGCCAUCUGUAAAAAAGGUAGUAAUCCUCUUGUGAAAAUGCAAGGGCCAUAGAUGUCAAAUGCAUAUUGUUCUGAUUGAUUGAUUGAGAGAAGGUCUCGCUGUGUCAUCUAGGCUGGAGUACAGUGACCCAAUCAUGGCUUACUGCCGUCUUGACCUCCUGGGCUCAGGUGAUUGUCCUGCCUCAGCCUCUUGAGUAGGUGGGACCACAGGCGCAUGCCACCACGCCCCGAUCAUUUAUAAUAAUUAUUUUUUGGAGAGAUGGAGACUCCCUGUGUUACCCAGGCUGGUCUUGAACUACUGGCCUCAAGCAAGUCUCCCACCUGAAGGACAGGAUUUUCAAGUUCUUUUCUGGGCUUCAGUUUCCUUAUUUGGAAAAUGUAGAUAAUAACUGCUUCACAAAGUCCAUUUAGUAUCAACUAAGAUAAUGUAUGUGAAAAUACCAUGUAAAUUAUGAAAAAUGUAUACCUAAUACAUAAAACUCUUUGUGCUGCAUAAUUUUUAGAAAUUACCUUGAGGGACUGAGUGCGGUGGCUCAUGCAGGUAAUUCCAACACUUCGGGAGGCAAAGGCUGGAGGAUCCAUUGAGCCUAGGAGUUCAAGAUCUGCAUGGGUUACAUGCCAGGGCUGCAGUCAUUUGAAGGCUUGACUGGGGCUGGAGGAUUUUCAUCCCAGAUGACUCACUCACCCAGCUGUUGGCAGGAGACCUCAGUUCUUUGCCACACGGACUUCUUUGUAAGACUAUGAAGCUGGCUGAGAACAGGAGAAAAUGGCUUGGAGGAGAAAAAGCUGUUUCAAGUUGGCCACCCCAAAUCACCUAGAUGGGUGUCCAGGCAAAUCAGGGCCCCUAGACACUUGCUCUUCUUUUCCUCUUCUGCUUGGCUGAUGUUGUUUUGAGAGGUGAACUUCUAGGAGGGCCAGAAUUUUUUGUGUGUGUGAAACAAGAGAAAGAGUAUCUGCUUAAUCUAGCUCCCCGAGGAACUUAAUCAAGUCACUCCUGUUCUGGCAUUUGGGUGGGUCCAGGCAGCACCCAAGAGUCCAGGACAUCACCAGUUCCAGCUCAGUGACAGACUUUGUAUGGAAGAACUGGGAAGGAGAAAAAAGUAAGCAUGAUUUCUGUAUAUUUUGCCUGAUGAACAAAGUAAUGCAAUUAAUUGAGGUAGGAGAAGAUCAGGUAUAUGGGAAAAAGGAGAGUGAAGCAAAGAUUCUGUUUUGGACAUGUUGAAUUUUGAUGCCAGUAGGCUUCUAAGUGAUCUCGGAUGAGCAAUUGGACAUUUGAAUAUGGAGCUUGGGGGAGUGGCCUGAGAUUGAGAUAGAAAUACUGCAUAGCUGGUAUAAUUGUGGGGGCCAAAUGUUUUUUCAAGUAUUUGCUAGACAUUUGUAGUUCCUCUAUUGUAGAUUACAUGCUUGUGUCCUUUACCUAUAUAUCUACUGAAUCUCUCACAGUUAUUCUUAAAAUUUCCUAAAAGUUUAAUGCAAUAAAAAAUGUUUAACAAACUACCUUAAAUCAUCUAAUUUUUACAGCAAGCCUGGUACAGGUUUUUAAAUUUUUGACUAAUGAGAGUUGUGACCUCCACAGACAAAUUUUAAAAUCGUCAGCAUAUAACAAAUAAGAAAAACAUAUUUGUCGUCCACAAGGAAAUGAUGUAUGCUUUAUGUUCACAAAGCAAGGAUAUAUUGUGUCUCCCAAGGGAGCUCACAGGCUGCUAUGUAUAGUAAAUCAGGCUUAGAAACCUGAUUUCUCUGUAUAUCAGGAGUGAAUCCAUCUUUCAGGAAUGGACUUACAUUAACCUAGUUUAUGAGUCUGAUUUUUAAAAGCAGAAGGUCAAAUUGCGAUGCAAAAUCAUUGUCCCAGCGACAGGGAUAUUUUAAAUUUGUGCAACUAGCUUUUUGUUAUCCUGGACAAUAAUGUCUAUGGAAUAUUUAAUGACCUUAAGCUAAGAGAACGUGAGUCACCCAUCUCACGUUAGGGAUGAUCUUUCUAGGGAAAAACAUCAAUCAGCUCAUUCACUCUCUUGCUUCAUCAGCCCUAACCACACCCUGUUGUCUCACUCUGAACAGCGCCAUUUAUCUCUUUGGCCUCUACAGGCAUUUAUAACCCUGGCCCUAAUGGCUUUGCCCAAGUAGCAAAUACUUUGAUGAAUGAAAAACUCCCAUGAAUCAUGUUUAAAACAAGUUUUUUUGUGGUUGAAGUUCUUGAGAUCUAAACCAUGAGUCAUGUUUUAAUAGCAAAUACUGCUUUUUAUCUCUGAGACCUUCCUUUUUUCAGGGUUUAAGGCUGACUAGCCCACUCGUGAUGACAGUCAUUUUAGAUAAUUUAACAAAUUCAAUCAAAUUACUAUCCAGUUCUGGCCCUGAGAUCCAAUCUGGAUCUUCAGGUCACUCCCAUCAUUUUAUUUUGCAGUAUAUUAAGCCUCCAGCUUCAUUAAUUACUGACCAUGUGACCUGGCCAUGCCGCUGAUUCCAUGUGUAUUUCAGUUUCUUAAUCUGUAAAACGGGAAAAAGAAUAUCAAAAGUGAUAGGAUUACUGUGCAGUGCUGAGGUUGUGGGAAGCACAUGGCUCAUUCCAUGUGGCAGGGAAAUCCCCUUCACGGGGCAGCUCACCAAUUGCUCGGUAAGUUCCUGAACCCAUCAUUGGCAGGAGGCACGGCAUUCUGUUUCAACUGGCCAUUCCCAGGCUGAGCACUGCCAUACAAGUGUAUGCUGGGCAUUUUGAGUUGUUAGAAUGAUGGCAAGUGGAGGUCAGGGAUGCUAAACAUCGUAAGAUGCACCUGAGAGCCCGGCAGAGCAAAGAACUGGUCAGCCCCAAGUGCUAGUUGCACCUGCUGCUAAGAAAUACUACUGGAGGGCCAGGC